rnacentral:rRNA from 1 species
GAUGAACGCUGGCGGCGUGCCUAAUACAUGCAAGUCGAGCGAACGGACGAGAAGCUUGCUUCUCUGAUGUUAGCGGCGGACGGGUGAGUAACACGUGGAUAACCUACCUAUAAGACUGGGAUAACUUCGGGAAACCGGAGCUAAUACCGGAAAAUAUUUUGAACCGCAUGGUUCAAAAGUGAAAGACGGUCUUGCUGUCACUUAUAGAUGGAUCCGCGCUGCAUUAGCUAGUUGGUAAGGUAACGGCUUACCAACGCAACGAUGCAUAGCCGACCUGAGAGGGUGAUCGGCCACACUGGAACUGAGACACGGUCCAGACUCCUACGGGAGGCAGCAGUAGGGAAUCUUCCGCAAUGGGCGAAAGCCUGACGGAGCAACGCCGCGUGAGUGAUGAAGGUCUUCGGAUCGUAAAACUCUGUUAUUAGGGAAGAACAUAUGUGUAAGUAACUGUGCACAUCUUGACGGUACCUAAUCAGAAAGCCACGGCUAACUACGUG